rnacentral:rRNA from 1 species
GGCGCACGGGUUGCNUAACACGUGGGUAAUCUGCCCAGAAGCCCGGAAUAACUCCCCGAAAGGGGUGCUAAUGCCGGAUGAGACCACGGGGACCUCGGUUCCUGGGGGAAAAGGUGGCCUCUGUAUACAAGCUAUCACUUCUGGAUGAGCCCGCGGCCCAUCAGCUAGUUGGCGGGGUAAUGGCCCACCAAGGCUACNACGGGUAGCUGGUCUGANAGGACAAUCAGCCACACUGGAACUGAGACACGGUCNANACUCCUACGGGAGGCAGCAGU